GUAUAAAACUCUACAAUAUCUUUUUGUCAAACAUUUAAGCGUAAAUGUAAAAAGCCUGACGGCUUUUCCAAGAUGGUUAUUGAUCCUUCCGCAGGUUCACCUACGGAAA
rnacentral:misc_RNA from 1 species